ACAAGGAAAUCUGAAACACUAUAAAUUGAAUGGAAUACAACGAUUUUUCCAGUAACAACUCAUUCAGUAAUAGAGAUACAUCCAUUUGCUGAUAAAUCCAAAAUGACUUCCAGCCGAGCCAUAUUUUUAAUUACCAUUGCUGCUGCCAUUUUCUUAGCAAAUGCAACUGAUCCAUUAGAAGAAGUGAGAAAAGCUGUAGAUGAUAUAAGUACCAAACUUGUCAAAGCAUAUGGUCAGGAAAAAGUUGAUAAAGUGAAAGAGAUUUUAUCAGGAACUGGAGAAACAAUCUCUAACAUGCUAAGCGAAAAAUUGAAAAAAAUUCAAGAAAUUUUGGGAUUCCCAGGCGGCAGUGAAGCAGUGGUUACUGCUAUUAACGAUUUGAAAGAAAGAGUUCGAGUCGUUUUUAAAGCUGCCAGAAAAGGAGCCAUGAAAGGAGUUAAAAAACUAGGCAAAAAAAUGGACAAACAGUGAAGUAGAAGGAAAUGGAAUUUCUCUCUGGAGCAUGCAUGAAAUUUUUGGUUGUUGUAAUUUCACAAUUUAGAAUUAGAAAUAAAAAAAAACGUUAAUUGUA